rnacentral:rRNA from 1 species
UCCAGUUGAUCCUGCUGGAGGGUACUGCUAUCGGAGUUCGACUAAGCCAUGCAAGUCUAACCCUAGGACUUCCUGGGGUGGCAGACUGCUGAGUAACACGUAGUCAAUCUACCCUAUAGACGGGGAUAACCUCGAGAAAUUGAGGACAAUACCCGAUAUUCCUCUUAUGCUGGAAUGCUUAGAGGUUUAAAUGGGCGGUGAAUUGGAGCCGUUCCGCUGUAGGACGAGACUGCGGGGGAUUAUGGUUGUUGGUAGGGUAAUGGCUUACCAAGCCGAUAAUCUCUAGGGGCCAUGAGAGUGGUGGCCCCCAGAAGGACACUGAGACAAGGGUCCUAGCCCUACGGGGUGCAGCAGGCGCGAAACCUCUACAAUGCUGGAAACAGUGAUAGGGGAACUCCGAGUGGCGUCGGCUAAGCUGGCGUCUUUUGCCAAGUGUAAAUAGCUUGGAGAAUAAGGGUGUGGGCAAGACUGGUGGCAGCCGCCGCGGUAACACCAGCGCCUCAAGUGGUACCCACGAAUACUGGGCCUAGAGCGUUCGUAGCCGGCCAAAUAAGUCUUCUGUGAAAUAGUGAGGCUUAACCUCACUGCGCGCAGGAGAUACUGUUUGACUUGGGAACGGGGGAGGUCAGGAGUACACCCGGGGUAGGGGUAAAAUCCUUUGAGCCUGGGUGGACUACCAGUGGCGAAGGCGCCUGACCAAAACGUGUCCGACGGUGAGGAACGAAAGCUGGGGGAGCGAACGGGAUUAGAUACCCCGGUAGUCCCAGCCGUAAAUGAUGCAGACUGUGGUGUUGCUUCAGAGUUAAUCUGCAGCAGUGCUGUAGCGUAGGUGUUAAGUCUGCCGCCUGGGGAGUACGGCCGCAAGGUUGAAACUUAAAGGAAUUGGCGGGGGAGCACCACAAGGGGUGGAUGCUACGGUUUAAUUGGAUACAACGCCGUGAACUUCACCAAGGGCGACGGCAGAAUGAAGGUCAGACUAAAGAUCUUACCUAACAAGCCGAGAGGUGUUGCAUGGCCAUCGUCAGCUCGUGGCGUGAGUUGUCAGGUUAAGUCCUGCAACGAGCGAGACCCAUACCAUUAAUUGCUACUUUUACCUUUAGUAAGAGGCACCUUAAUGGGACUGCCCGCGUUAAGUGGGAGGAAGGAGUGGGCGACGGUAGGUCAGUAUGGCCCGAAUCCCUUGGGCUACACGCGGCAUACAAUGGCUGGAACAAUGGGUUGCUACUCCGAAAGGAGACGCUAAUCCCCUAAAUCCAGUCUUAGUUCGGAUUGAGGGUUGAAACUCACCCUCAUGAAGCUGGAAUCCCUAGUAAUCGCGUGUCAUCAUCGCGCGGUGAAUACGUCCCCGCUCCUUGCACACACCGCCCGUCAAGUCACCCAAAUGUGGUGUAGGUGAGGCUCCGGUUUCUGCCGGAUUCGAACCUAUGUUGCGUGAGGGGGGCUAAGUCGUUACAAGGUA